rnacentral:rRNA from 1 species
AGAACGAACGCUGGCGGCAUGCCUAAUACAUGCAAGUCGAACGAAGGCUUCGGCCUUAGUGGCGCACGGGUGCGUAACGCGUGGGAAUCUGCCCCUUGGUUCGGAAUAACAGUUGGAAACGACUGCUAAUACCGGAUGAUGACGAAAGUCCAAAGAUUUAUCGCCAAGGGAUGAGCCCGCGUAGGAUUAGCUAGUUGGUGAGGUAAAGGCUCACCAAGGCGACGAGUCUACGCCUGGUCUGGAGACGG